UACGUAGGGGGCAAGCGUUGUUCGGAUUUACUGGGCGUAAAGGGCGCGUAGGCGGCAAAUUAAGUCAGCUGUGAAAUCUCCGAGCUUAACUCGGAACUGUCAGCUGAUACUGAUGUGCUAGAGUGCGGAAGGGGCAAUCGGAAUUCUUGGUGUAGCGGUGAAAUGCGUAGAUAUCAAGAGGAACACCUGAGGUGAAGACGGGUUGCUGGGCCGACACUGACGCUGAGUGCGCGAAAGCCAGGGGAGCAAACGGG
rnacentral:rRNA from 1 species